GGUUAAGCGACUAAGCGUACACGGUGGAUGCCCUGGCAGUCAGAGGCGAUGAAGGACGUGCUAAUCUGCGAUAAGCGCCGGUAAGGUGAUAUGAACCGUUAUAACCGGCGAUUUCCGAAUGGGGAAACCCAGUGUGACUCGUCACACUAUCAUUAACUGAAUCCAUAGGUUAAUGAGGCGAACCGGGGGAACUGAAACAUCUAAGUACCCCGAGGAAAAGAAAUCAACCGAGAUUCCCCCAGUAGCGGCGAGCGAACGGGGAGGAGCCCAGAGCCUGAAUCAGCAUGUGUGUUAGUGGAAGCGUCUGGAAAGGCGCGCGAUACAGGGUGACAGCCCCGUACACAAAAGCGCAUGUGCUGUGAGCUCGAUGAGUAGGGCGGGACACGUGGUAUCCUGUCUGAAUAUGGGGGGACCAUCCUCCAAGGCUAAAUACUCCUGACUGACCGAUAGUGAACCAGUACCGUGAGGGAAAGGCGAAAAGAACCCCGGCGAGGGGAGUGAAAAAGAACCUGAAACCGUGUACGUACAAGCAGUGGGAGCACAGGUUUACCUGUGUGACUGCGUACCUUUUGUAUAAUGGGUCAGCGACUUAUAUUCUGUAGCAAGGUUAACCGUAUAGGGGAGCCGCAGGGAAACCGAGUCUUAAUUGGGCGUUAAGUUGCAGGGUAUAGACCCGAAACCCGGUGAUCUAGCCAUGGGCAGGUUGAAGGUUGGGUAACACUAACUGGAGGACCGAACCGACUAAUGUUGAAAAAUUAGCGGAUGACCUGUGGCUGGGGGUGAAAGGCCAAUCAAACCGGGAGAUAGCUGGUUCUCCCCGAAAGCUAUUUAGGUAGCGCCUCGUGAAUUCAUCUCCGGGGGUAGAGCACUGUUUCGGCUAGGGGGCCAUCCCGGCUUACCAACCCGAUGCAAACUGCGAAUACCGGAGAAUGUUAUCACGGGAGACACACGGCGGGUGCUAACGUCCGUCGUGAAGAGGGAAACAACCCAGACCGCCAGCUAAGGUCCCAAAGUCAUGGUUAAGUGGGAAACGAUGUGGGAAGGCCCAGACAGCCAGGAUGUUGGCUUAGAAGCAGCCAUCAUUUAAAGAAAGCGUAAUAGCUCACUGGUCGAGUCGGCCUGCGCGGAAGAUGUAACGGGGCUAAACCAUGCACCGAAGCUGCGGCAGCGACGCUUAUGCGUUGUUGGGUAGGGGAGCGUUCUGUAAGCCUGUGAAGGUGGCCUGUGAGGGUUGCUGGAGGUAUCAGAAGUGCGAAUGCUGACAUAAGUAACGAUAAAGCGGGUGAAAAGCCCGCUCGCCGGAAGACCAAGGGUUCCUGUCCAACGUUAAUCGGGGCAGGGUGAGUCGACCCCUAAGGCGAGGCCGAAAGGCGUAGUCGAUGGGAAACGGGUUAAUAUUCCCGUACUUGGUGUUACUGCGAAGGGGGGACGGAGAAGGCUAUGUUGGCCGGGCGACGGUUGUCCCGGUUUAAGCGUGUAGGUGUGUGUUCCAGGUAAAUCCGGUUCACUUUAACACUGAGGCGUGAUGACGAGGCACUACGGUGCUGAAGCAACAAAUGCCCUGCUUCCAGGAAAAGCCUCUAAGCAUCAGGUAACAUCAAAUCGUACCCCAAACCGACACAGGUGGUCAGGUAGAGAAUACCAAGGCGCUUGAGAGAACUCGGGUGAAGGAACUAGGCAAAAUGGUGCCGUAACUUCGGGAGAAGGCACGCUGACACGUAGGUGAAGUGAUUUACUCACGGAGCUGAAGUCAGUCGAAGAUACCAGCUGGCUGCAACUGUUUAUUAAAAACACAGCACUGUGCAAACACGAAAGUGGACGUAUACGGUGUGACGCCUGCCCGGUGCCGGAAGGUUAAUUGAUGGGGUCAGCGCAAGCGAAGCUCCUGAUCGAAGCCCCGGUAAACGGCGGCCGUAACUAUAACGGUCCUAAGGUAGCGAAAUUCCUUGUCGGGUAAGUUCCGACCUGCACGAAUGGCGUAAUGAUGGCCAGGCUGUCUCCACCCGAGACUCAGUGAAAUUGAACUCGCUGUGAAGAUGCAGUGUACCCGCGGCAAGACGGAAAGACCCCGUGAACCUUUACUAUAGCUUGACACUGAACAUUGAGCCUUGAUGUGUAGGAUAGGUGGGAGGCUUUGAAGUGUGGACGCCAGUCUGCAUGGAGCCGACCUUGAAAUACCACCCUUUAAUGUUUGAUGUUCUAACGUGGACCCGUUACCCGGGUUGCGGACAGUGUCUGGUGGGUAGUUUGACUGGGGCGGUCUCCUCCUAAAGAGUAACGGAGGAGCACGAAGGUUGGCUAAUCCUGGUCGGACAUCAGGAGGUUAGUGCAAUGGCAUAAGCCAGCUUGACUGCGAGCGUGACGGCGCGAGCAGGUGCGAAAGCAGGUCAUAGUGAUCCGGUGGUUCUGAAUGGAAGGGCCAUCGCUCAACGGAUAAAAGGUACUCCGGGGAUAACAGGCUGAUACCGCCCAAGAGUUCAUAUCGACGGCGGUGUUUGGCACCUCGAUGUCGGCUCAUCACAUCCUGGGGCUGAAGUAGGUCCCAAGGGUAUGGCUGUUCGCCAUUUAAAGUGGUACGCGAGCUGGGUUUAGAACGUCGUGAGACAGUUCGGUCCCUAUCUGCCGUGGGCGCUGGAGAACUGAGGGGGGCUGCUCCUAGUACGAGAGGACCGGAGUGGACGCAUCACUGGUGUUCGGGUUGUCAUGCCAAUGGCACUGCCCGGUAGCUAAAUGCGGAAGAGAUAAGUGCUGAAAGCAUCUAAGCACGAAACUUGCCCCGAGAUGAGUUCUCCCUGAGACUUAGAGUCUCCUGAAGGAACGUUGAAGACGACGACGUUGAUAGGCCGGGUGUGUAAGCGCAGCGAUGCGUUGAGCUAACCGGUACUAAUGAACCGUGAGGCUUAACCUU
rnacentral:rRNA from 1 species